GAAAUGCGAUACGUAGUGUGAAUUGCAGAAUUCCGUGAACCAUCGAAUCUUUGAACGCAUAUUGCGCCCAAGGCUUCGGCCAAGGGCAUGUCUGCCUCAGCGUCGGUUUAUACCCUUGCCUCCCCAUGCAUGCGCAUGGCGUGCUCGCCCCUAACCCGGUGCGAGCCGGAAGCAGAUCUGGCUUCCCCAGCGCCCUCUGCGAGGGCUGCUGGGUUGGCUGAAGUGCAGAGGCUAGAGCUCGGACCCGAUAUGGGCUCAACUGGAUAGGUAGCACCGGUUUCGGCCGACUACACGAAGUUGAUGCCUGUGGUCCUUGCUGGCGGCCAGCAGGAAUCAUGCCCCGGCAUGACUUAAACCUUCGACCUGAGCUCAGGCAAGACUACCCGCUGAACUUAA
rnacentral:misc_RNA from 1 species